rnacentral:rRNA from 2 species
AGAGUUUGAUCCUGGCUCAGGAUGAACGCUGGCGGCGUGCCUAAUACAUGCAAGUCGAGCGAACGGACGAGAAGCUUGCUUUUCUGAUGUUAGCGGCGGACGGGUGAGUAACACGUGGAUAACCUACCUAUAAGACUGGGAUAACUUCGGGAAACCGGAGCUAAUACCGGAUAAUAUUUUGAACCGCAUGGUUCAAAAGUGAAAGACGGUCUUGCUGUCACUUAUAGAUGGAUCCGCGCUUCAUUAGCUAGUUGGUAAGGUAACGGCUUACCAAGGCAACGAUGCAUAGCCGACCUGAGAGGGUGAUCGGCCACACUGGAACUGAGACACGGUCCAGACUCCUACGGGAGGCAGCAGUAGGGAAUCUUCCGCAAUGGGCGAAAGCCUGACGGAGCAACGCCGCGUGAGUGAUGAAGGUCUUCGGAUCGUAAAACUCUGUUAUUAGGGAAGAACAUAUGUGUAAGUAACUGUGCACAUCUUGACGGUACCUAAUCAGAAAGCCACGGCUAACUACGUGCCAGCAGCCGCGGUAAUACGUAGGUGGCAAGCGUUAUCCGGAAUUAUUGGGCGUAAAGCGCGCGUAGGCGGUUUUUUAAGUCUGAUGUGAAAGCCCACGGCUCAACCGUGGAGGGUCAUUGGAAACUGGAAAACUUGAGUGCAGAAGAGGAAAGUGGAAUUCCAUGUGUAGCGGUGAAAUGCGCAGAGAUAUGGAGGAACACCAGUGGCGAAGGCGACUUUCUGGUCUGUAACUGACGCUGAUGUGCGAAAGCGUGGGGAUCAAACAGGAUUAGAUACCCUGGUAGUCCACGCCGUAAACGAUGAGUGCUAAGUGUUAGGGGGUUUCCGCCCCUUAGUGCUGCAGCUAACGCAUUAAGCACUCCGCCUGGGGAGUACGACCGCAAGGUUGAAACUCAAAGGAAUUGACGGGGACCCGCACAAGCGGUGGAGCAUGUGGUUUAAUUCGAAGCAACGCGAAGAACCUUACCAAAUCUUGACAUCCUUUGACAACUCUAGAGAUAGAGCCUUCCCCUUCGGGGGACAAAGUGACAGGUGGUGCAUGGUUGUCGUCAGCUCGUGUCGUGAGAUGUUGGGUUAAGUCCCGCAACGAGCGCAACCCUUAAGCUUAGUUGCCAUCAUUAAGUUGGGCACUCUAAGUUGACUGCCGGUGACAAACCGGAGGAAGGUGGGGAUGACGUCAAAUCAUCAUGCCCCUUAUGAUUUGGGCUACACACGUGCUACAAUGGACAAUACAAAGGGCAGCGAAACCGCGAGGUCAAGCAAAUCCCAUAAAGUUGUUCUCAGUUCGGAUUGUAGUCUGCAACUCGACUACAUGAAGCUGGAAUCGCUAGUAAUCGUAGAUCAGCAUGCUACGGUGAAUACGUUCCCGGGUCUUGUACACACCGCCCGUCACACCACGAGAGUUUGUAACACCCGAAGCCGGUGGAGUAACCUUUUAGGAGCUAGCCGUCGAAGGUGGGACAAAUGAUUGGGGUGAAGUCGUAACAAGGUAGCCGUAUCGGAAGGUGCGGCUGGAUCACCU